AACACAUGAGCUCUGCCCUGCUGGGUGGUUUUCCCCAUAGCGAAGUGCCUGCCUUCAUACCCAGUGUGCAGAAAGCAGAUAAUGGGUCCCUCCAAGACCCGCCAGAGGGUUCUAGGAAAAGGCAGAGAGGCAAGGUUGAUUAAGAUACCAGCAAUAAGUUACUGAAGCAAUGGAUCGUGGCCUCUCACCUGGUAUGAAGGGGCAUGAAGAGAGGCAUAUGAUGAACCAGAAAAGGGAAAAGCCGAUGGACUGGUCAUCCAAGUGAGGCUGAAGAACAGCUCCAGAGGGAACAAGUGAGCAGGCGAUUGCAAUGGAUAUGUAUUUCAAUGGCCCCCAGUGCCGUCCGGUUUCCCUACGCUCUCAAUGAAGGCCUUCAAGGAAGAUGCAGUGAAUGGGAGCUACAGAAACAAACUGUAAUGAGCAUCGUGACUCCAAUCACAUGGAUCUCCUGCCCAUCCAAGCUCCUGAGGGCUGGGUGUGCAGCUGGAAGCUGGGCCAAGAUGGUGGUCAAGAGCGGCAAGGAGAGCCCUGUCUUGAGAAGAUCCAAAUGACCCCUCCUCUUGGUAGACAUGAAAAAAGUUAAGUCGUCUCGACCAGUGAACAGAAAAAGGAAAGCAAGCUGGGUUUCUGGAGAGGGGCUCAGAACACGAGCCUAGGGCUACAGAUCCAGAAAGACGCUCGAGCUCGGCCGGGUCGGGGAGCACAGCGGUGUGUGGUGCCUCUGGCCCUCGGACUGACUUAGCGUGGCCUCUGAGAACCCAGGCCUCCCCGCGUUGCCUGGCUGCCGCCGGGAGCACCGGCCCGCGUGCACCUGCGCCCUGCCGCCCCUUUAGCUCAAGGAGUCAUU